AUUGAACGCUGGCGGCAUGCCUUACACAUGCAAGUCGAACGGCAGCACGGGGCAACCUGGUGGCGAGUGGCGAACGGGUGAGUAAUGCAUCGGAACGUGCCAUUGAGUGGGGGAUAACGUAGCGAAAGUUGCGCUAAUACCGCAUAUUCUGUGAGCAGGAAAGCAGGGGACCGCAAGGCCUUGCGCUCUUUGAGCGGCCGAUGUCAGAUUAGCUAGUUGGUGAGGUAAAGGCUCACCAAGGCGACGAUCCGUAGCGGGUCUGAGAGGAUGAUCCGCCACACUGGGACUGAGACACGGCCCAGACUCCUACGGGAGGCAGCAGUGGGGAAUUUUGGACAAUGGGCGCAAGCCUGAUCCAGCCAUGCCGCGUGCGGGAAGAAGG
rnacentral:rRNA from 1 species